GCUAGUUAGUGAGCACCUUGCAGACACACAGGAUGUACUUCUCCAAGAUGGUGCAAUGGAGCAGAAACAGCUCAUGUCCCUAAUAAGAAGCCACGAGGGACCUCAUUGCUUAUUGAAGAGUCUUGCAGCAUACUUUGUUCGUUGGUCUUUUCUUAAUGGUUGGCUAUUUCUCCUCCAAUUCAAGGUAAGCAGAUAACUUGUUAUGAUUACUUAAAUUAAAGAGAAGAGGCCAAAGAGGAGAAAUGGGAGAUGAGGAGAAAGAAGAGUUGGGGGAGAUGGAGGGAUGGAAAGAAAGAAAGAGGAGAAGAAAAGAGGAUAAAGAAAAUGUGGAAUAAGAAGGGGAAGAAGAGGAGGAGAGGGAGGAGAUAGGGGGGUGAAGAAAGUGAGGAAGAGGAGGAGGACAAGGAGGAGGAUAGAAAGAAGGAGGAGGAAGAAGGAAGGAGAGAGGAGGUAGAGAAGGAGAAGGAGUUUGUCCCUUUACCCUCUCCAAGUUGAGAUCCCUACUUUCAGCUGAUCUCUCUAAACACAGUCAUUAGUCAAUUGGUUUUAACAUGGGCAUAAAGAUUGAUAUCUACCAUGGUGACAAAGAAGAAAUCCUUUAAUUCACACAAAUUAUAAGCUGAUGACUUGAUUAAGAAGCCUCAUUGUUUCAACUUUGGGAAAGUGAAGUGUUUUUUGAACUACUAACGUGAAAUGUAAGUCACAGUUGGUGACUCUCAUCUCUCUCUUGCUCUUUUCUUGCUUUCUCCCUUUGUCUUUACCAAAACAUUGCAACUAUUAGGUACCAUUCAGAGUCAAUGCGGACCUGAACACACAACUGGCCACGGAGGGAGGCCCUUCAUAAACAGAUCUUGCUGAGUUUAAUCAGAAUCUGCCUCAUGCACAUAGACACAGAUCCUCUUAGAGAUGAAAAGGUUGUCUGUGCAUACUUACAUCAGGGUGUGGCUACACAUUGAAAUUCACUGGUCUUGAGAUCUUUCUGGUCCUAUAGGGUACUGAUGUAUGUAUAUCCUGGUCUAUUAAUCACACAUGCAAAAAGGAAUUUUAGCCUGCAGAGUUGGCAUUUCUUUUUAAGUUUGUUCUUGUUGUUUUUGGUUUUUUAACCAUGAUAAAAAACAUAAUGGAAGAAAUCACUAAGGUAUUAACAUCAACAGUCAAGAUGAUAAUCUGGUAAGUAUGCAAUAACAGCAGUAGCAGAGGAAGAAGGCUGGUGGUCACUCAUAGAACAAAGCAGGCGCCCUCAGGUGCAAGCCCUCUUUGCACUCUCCACAGUCUAUGGGAAGGAGAUGGGAAGGGAAUUGCACAUAAGCCAGACGAUUUCCAGGAAAACAGGCUUAACAGUUUGUAAAUAUAUAAAGCCUUUUGAGGACACAAAAUAAAGUGUGGUCUUUAAAGAAAAUAGGCUUAGUUACAGGAUGGGCAGACAGUGUUUUGAACACGGUUGGAUCAAAUGGUGAAGACCAUAUUUCAAAGAUGCAACUUCUGCGUGUUUAUGUCUAAGCAGCUUCUGGUCUUUAAAACUGUCUUUCAUACAAAUGUGAGAGAUGACAAACUUUAUUGGGGGUCCUGAAGCUUUUAGUCCACAAAAUUGAGGAAGAGUUUGAAGCUCACGGCUGCCAGAGUGAAACCUUGGGCUCUGGUAUUAGCUGCCUUGUACAUGGCUGAUUGGAACACAAAGGAAAAUAAUCUUGUAAGUUGUUGAUGAAAACAAGACUACUUGAAAUUUUAAUAUGAAAAACAUCCUUCAUUGUCUGGCCUAUCAAAUAUUUAAUGGUUCUAAACUUCAAGUUAUUCUGAGAACAAGAUAGGAUAAUAAUGUAUAAGUCACAAAAUUAAAAUUGUCAAGUGGGUGAUGUAUGAUGAAGUGUAUAAGCACAUGCACAGAAAAAAAUUAUACAACUUAAUUGACAUUAAUAAAUAAAUGAGGAGUUCCAGAAGAGUCUUUGUUGGCCUGUGACUAUGUUAGUCAACCUGAAAUCAAUCAAAAGGGCAACUGGACAUUCCAAUCUCUGGUGGGGGUUAGGGGCUUGUUAAUAGCAAGCAGCUAGCAGUAGACACAGGGAAGAACACACACAUACGUUAACCCAAGCCAAAAAUAAAAUCAUCAAAAAA
rnacentral:lncRNA from 1 species